GACGAACGCUGGCGGCGUGCUUAACACAUGCAAGUCGAACGGUGAAGCGCCUUCCUUUUUGGUUGGUGUGGAUGAGUGGCGAACGGGUGAGUAACACGUGAGUAACCUGCCCCCUUCUUCUGGCUAACCGCAUGAAAGUGUGGCUAAUACGGGAUAUUCUGGGUCUGUCUCAUGAUUGGUCUGGUCACGAUAUUGUUUCGGUGGGUGAUUGGCUCGCGGCCUAUCAGCUUGUUGGUGGGGUGAUGGCCUACCAGGGCGGUGACGGGUAGCAGGCCUGAGAGUGUGGACGCUCACACGGGGACUGAGACAUGGCCCAGACUCCUACGGGCCGCAACAGUCGGGAAUAUGGAACAAUAAGCGCAAGCCUGACGCAGCCCCGCAGCGUGAGGGCGGGACCACUUCGGGUUGUUAACCUCUUUCGCCAGUGACGCAGGCCUGCCUCGUAUGUGGGUGGGUUGACGGUAGCUGGAUAAGAAGCGCCGGCUAACUACGUG
rnacentral:rRNA from 1 species